rnacentral:misc_RNA from 1 species
CCAGGGAAGAAGCCAGCGGCUCCCAAGGCAGCACCGAAAAAGGCUCCUACUUCAAAGAAGACGCCGGCUAAAUCCGUUAAGCCGAAGAGCGUAAAGUCACCGUCAAGGAGGACUUCAGCUAAGAGGACUUCAGCUAGGAAGGGAAGGAAGUGAUCAUAACAUGGAGGCAUACCAUAGGCUUCAGCGUUUGUAGGGUUGUUUUGUAAAUUCGGUGCCGAUGAGGUGUAUUUGAGUCCAUGUGUUCUAGUUGGCCACAAAAAGAAGACAUUGGAUUUUUUUU